UUAAGCGACUAAGCGUACACGGUGGAUGCCCUGGCAGUCAGAGGCGAUGAAGGACGUGCUAAUCUGCGAUAAGCGUCGGUAAGGUGAUAUGAACCGUUAUAACCGGCGAUUUCCGAAUGGGGAAACCCAGUGUGAUUCGUCACACUAUCAUUAACUGAAUCCAUAGGUUAAUGAGGCGAACCGGGGGAACUGAAACAUCUAAGUACCCCGAGGAAAAGAAAUCAACCGAGAUUCCCCCAGUAGCGGCGAGCGAACGGGGAGCAGCCCAGAGCCUGAAUCAGUGUGUGUGUUAGUGGAAGCGUCUGGAAAGGCGCGCGAUACAGGGUGACAGCCCCGUACACAAAAAUGCACAUGCUGUGAGCUCGAUGAGUAGGGCGGGACACGUGGUAUCCUGUCUGAAUAUGGGGGGACCAUCCUCCAAGGCUAAAUACUCCUGACUGACCGAUAGUGAACCAGUACCGUGAGGGAAAGGCGAAAAGAACCCCGGCGAGGGGAGUGAAAAAGAACCUGAAACCGUGUACGUACAAGCAGUGGGAGCACAGAGCAAUCUGUGUGACUGCGUACCUUUUGUAUAAUGGGUCAGCGACUUAUAUUCUGUAGCAAGGUUAACCGAAUAGGGGAGCCGAAGGGAAACCGAGUCUUAACUGGGCGUUAAGUUGCAGGGUAUAGACCCGAAACCCGGUGAUCUAGCCAUGGGCAGGUUGAAGGUUGGGUAACACUAACUGGAGGACCGAACCGACUAAUGUUGAAAAAUUAGCGGAUGACUUGUGGCUGGGGGUGAAAGGCCAAUCAAACCGGGAGAUAGCUGGUUCUCCCCGAAAGCUAUUUAGGUAGCGCCUCGUGAAUUCAUCUCCGGGGGUAGAGCACUGUUUCGGCAAGGGGGUCAUCCCGACUUACCAACCCGAUGCAAACUACGAAUACCGGAGAAUGUUAUCACGGGAGACACACGGCGGGUGCUAACGUCCGUCGUGAAGAGGGAAACAACCCAGACCGCCAGCUAAGGUCCCAAAGUCAUGGUUAAGUGGGAAACGAUGUGGGAAGGCCCAGACAGCCAGGAUGUUGGCUUAGAAGCAGCCAUCAUUUAAAGAAAGCGUAAUAGCUCACUGGUCGAGUCGGCCUGCGCGGAAGAUGUAACGGGGCUAAACCAUGCACCGAAGCUGCGGCAGCGACGCUUAUGCGUUGUUGGGUAGGGGAGCGUUCUGUAAGCCUGUGAAGGUGUGCUGUGAGGCAUGCUGGAGGUAUCAGAAGUGCGAAUGCUGACAUAAGUAACGAUAAAGCGGGUGAAAAGCCCGCUCGCCGGAAGACCAAGGGUUCCUGUCCAACGUUAAUCGGGGCAGGGUGAGUCGACCCCUAAGGCGAGGCCGAAAGGCGUAGUCGAUGGGAAACAGGUUAAUAUUCCUGUACUUGGUGUUACUGCGAAGGGGGGACGGAGAAGGCUAUGUUGGCCGGGCGACGGUUGUCCCGGUUUAAGCGUGUAGGCUGGUUUUCCAGGCAAAUCCGGAAAAUCAAGGCUGAGGCGUGAUGACGAGGCACUACGGUGCUGAAGCAACAAAUGCCCUGCUUCCAGGAAAAGCCUCUAAGCAUCAGGUAACAUCAAAUCGUACCCCAAACCGACACAGGUGGUCAGGUAGAGAAUACCAAGGCGCUUGAGAGAACUCGGGUGAAGGAACUAGGCAAAAUGGUGCCGUAACUUCGGGAGAAGGCACGCUGAUAUGUAGGUGAAGUCCCUCGCGGAUGGAGCUGAAAUCAGUCGAAGAUACCAGCUGGCUGCAACUGUUUAUUAAAAACACAGCACUGUGCAAACACGAAAGUGGACGUAUACGGUGUGACGCCUGCCCGGUGCCGGAAGGUUAAUUGAUGGGGUUAGCGCAAGCGAAGCUCUUGAUCGAAGCCCCGGUAAACGGCGGCCGUAACUAUAACGGUCCUAAGGUAGCGAAAUUCCUUGUCGGGUAAGUUCCGACCUGCACGAAUGGCGUAAUGAUGGCCAGGCUGUCUCCACCCGAGACUCAGUGAAAUUGAACUCGCUGUGAAGAUGCAGUGUACCCGCGGCAAGACGGAAAGACCCCGUGAACCUUUACUAUAGCUUGACACUGAACAUUGAGCCUUGAUGUGUAGGAUAGGUGGGAGGCUUUGAAGUGUGGACGCCAGUCUGCAUGGAGCCGACCUUGAAAUACCACCCUUUAAUGUUUGAUGUUCUAACGUUGACCCGUGAUCCGGGUUGCGGACAGUGUCUGGUGGGUAGUUUGACUGGGGCGGUCUCCUCCUAAAGAGUAACGGAGGAGCACGAAGGUUGGCUAAUCCUGGUCGGACAUCAGGAGGUUAGUGCAAUGGCAUAAGCCAGCUUGACUGCGAGCGUGACGGCGCGAGCAGGUGCGAAAGCAGGUCAUAGUGAUCCGGUGGUUCUGAAUGGAAGGGCCAUCGCUCAACGGAUAAAAGGUACUCCGGGGAUAACAGGCUGAUACCGCCCAAGAGUUCAUAUCGACGGCGGUGUUUGGCACCUCGAUGUCGGCUCAUCACAUCCUGGGGCUGAAGUAGGUCCCAAGGGUAUGGCUGUUCGCCAUUUAAAGUGGUACGCGAGCUGGGUUUAGAACGUCGUGAGACAGUUCGGUCCCUAUCUGCCGUGGGCGCUGGAGAACUGAGGGGGGCUGCUCCUAGUACGAGAGGACCGGAGUGGACGCAUCACUGGUGUUCGGGUUGUCAUGCCAAUGGCACUGCCCGGUAGCUAAAUGCGGAAGAGAUAAGUGCUGAAAGCAUCUAAGCACGAAACUUGCCCCGAGAUGAGUUCUCCCUGACCCUUUAAGGGUCCUGAAGGAACGUUGAAGACGACGACGUUGAUAGGCCGGGUGUGUAAGCGCAGCGAUGCGUUGAGCUAACCGGUACUAAUGAACCGUGAGGCUUAACCU
rnacentral:rRNA from 1 species